AUGGAGCAAUGCUGAUAUGUGGAGCCUCCGCAGACAUGAUUUCCUCUGUGACUGACAGUCUCAUCAUUAAACAGGUGGCGCCAAACACAACACUUCAAAAGUAAAAUUGGAUCAAUUUGGAUUUUUUUCCCUCUCCAUUAAUCCUACUCUUUCUCUCCUUCAGGUCCUUGAAAACCUCUUUAGUCAUAUGAUAUCAAAACCAAACGAGGACUUGUUCAUCUCCGUGUCAUUCCUUCAGUUUUAUCCAGAUGGCAGCGCUGUGGAUGUCCUCAACCCUAACAGGCAGACCUUAAAACCUGUAAAACAUCCCGUCCUUGGCAGGAGAAGCCUACACUC